UUGCGUGUGGCGGCGUGGAC
rnacentral:misc_RNA from 1 species